UGGGGAAUAUUGCACAAUGGGCGAAAGCCUGAUGCAGCGACGCCGCGUGAGGGAUGACGGCCUUCGGGUUGUAAACCUCUUUCAGUAGGGACGAAGCGCACGUGACGGUACCUGCAGAAGAAGCACCGGCUAACUACGUGCCAGCAGCCGCGGUAAUACGUAGGGUGCCAGCGUUGUCCGGAAUUACUGGGCGUAAAGAGCUCGUAGGCGGUUUGUCACGUCGUCUGUGAUAUCCUAGGGCUUAACCCUGGACGUGCAGGCGUUACGGGUUGACUUGAGUACUGCAGGGGAGACUGGAAUUUCUGGUGUAGCGGUGGAAUGCACAGAUAUCAGGAAGAACACCGAUGGCGAAGGCAGGUCUCUGGGUAGUUACUGACGCUGAGGAGCGAAAGCAUGGGGAGCGAACAGG
rnacentral:rRNA from 1 species